rnacentral:rRNA from 1 species
UACGAAGGGGGCUAGCGUUGCUCGGAAUCACUGGGCGUAAAGGGCUCGUAGGCGGCCAACUAAGUCAUACGUGAAAUCCCUCGGCUUAACCGGGGAACUGCGUCUGAUACUGGAUGGCUUGAGAUUGGGAGAGGGAUGCGGAAUUCCAGGUGUAGCGGUGAAAUGCGUAGAUAUCUGGAGGAACACCGGUGGCGAAGGCGGCAUCCUGGACCAACACUGACGCUGAGGAGCGAAAGCCAGGGGAGCAAACGGG